UUUUUUGAGGAAGAAGAAGGUUCGCUUUACGAACCUGGUGGAGCUGAUUGACGUGUUACUGCCACCAUCGUGUCCACUAUUGAAUAAGAAUUGCGGUCAGGAUCGCCCACGCAGAUUUCCAUGUCAGCGGCGAGGCGAGAUACAAGAUCAGCUAAAACUUCAAUUAUUUAUAAUUUUGCAAACAAUGAAAAUGUUUUUUUCUUAUCUUUAAACAUUGUCCUGAAUAUAUAUAAUACCAAUUUGA